UACAGAGGUCUCAAGCGUUGCUCGGAUUCAUUGGGCUUAAAGGGUGCGUAGGCUGCGCAGAAAGUUGGGUGUGAAAUACCUCGGCUCAACCGAGGAACUGCGCCCAAAACUACUGUGCUCGAGGGAGACAGAGGUGAGCGGAACUUAGGGUGGAGCGGUGAAAUGCGUUGAUAUCCUAAGGAACACCCGUGGCGAAAGCGGCUCACUGGGUCUCUUCUGACGCUGAGGCACGAAAGCUAGGGUAGCGAACGGG
rnacentral:rRNA from 1 species